UCCCCCCUAUAUYGASGCGCAUGAAUGGAUUACGAGAAUUCUCAACUGUCCCUAUCUACUAUCUAGCGAAACCACAGCCAAGGGAACGGGCUUGGAAAAAUCAGCGGGGAAAGAAGACCCUUUUGAGCUUGACUCUAGUCUAUUUCUGUUCGGAGACAUGCCGAGGUGUAGCAUAAGUGGGAGACGGGGAGUUCGUUACGUUUGCCGAGAGGCGUUCGUAGCGCCCCGUCGACGUUGAAAUACCACUACUCGCAUCGUUUCCUUACUUACUCGAUGGUGCGGAGCACGUGCCGAUCGGCUCGUGGUCCGGCUCGUCUUGAUGGAAGGCGCGCUUUUGCGGAUUCUCCCGUCUUCGAAAGUUGUCGGGGGUUUCGUGGAACGCGUUCCGAAACCUUGACGGUUUGUCGGGCCCAUAGUGGCUGUCGGUUGCGGUUGAUUCCCGGUCGAGUUAAGCGCGAUAAUCGCCGCCUGUAUGGCCUGUGUUUGACAGCGCGUCAGUUUCGACUGUCUCGCUUUCGGCGCAGGUUGUCUGGUGACGUCGCGCGAUCCGAUUCGAGGACCCAAAUAGGUCGAGAGUUUGACUGGGGCGGUACAUCUGUCAAAGAAUAACGCAGGUGUCCUAAGGCUAGCUCAGCGAGGACGGAAACCUCGCGUAGAGCAAAAGGGCAAAAGCUGGCUUGAUCCCGGACGCUCAGUAAGCGUAGGGACUGCGAAAGCAUAGGCCUCUCGAUCCUCUCGACGCUGAAGAGUUUUCAGCGAGAGGUGUCAGAAAAGUUACCAGAGGGAUAACUGGCUUGUGGCGGCAGAGCGUUCAUAGCGACGUCSCUUAUGAUCU
rnacentral:rRNA from 1 species